GCUUCAAGGAUUUGGAAGUUGACGAGUUCUCGUGACAAGAUUAAGGGGGUGAUUGUGAGAUAUUAAUCUUGUCAUUUUGUUAGUAGAACAUAAUUAGUGGCUGCGUCUGCAUGUUGCUAGCUUGGUUGCGUCGUAGUUAGUUACCGAGGAGUGGAUCGAGUGAUUCGGUCAGCACAAAAGUGUUUAGUUUCCAUGCAUGUAGGAUCAUGUGAGUGGUCAGCCAAGUGAUUUGGCCGAGUCAAGUUAGUGGCCGUUGUGUUAGCUAGUGGUUAGUGCAUGGAGAGUUUAGUGGAGUUAGUGGAGUAUGGCGUGAGUGUGGGUCUUGGCUGAGUGCCAAACUUUGUAUAAAUAGUCAUCUGAUUUAGUAAUGGAGAGCAGCCGAGAGGGCUGGGUAAA